AGAGUUUGAUCCUGGCUCAGGAUGAACGCUAGCGGGAGGCCUAAUACAUGCAAGUCGAGGGGCAGCACGGUAGCAAUACUGGUGGCGACCGGCGCACGGGUGCGUAACGCGUAUGCAACUUACCCUUUACAGGGAGAUAGCCCGGAGAAAUUCGGAUUAAUAUCCCAUAGUAUAUAGAUUUGGCAUCAGAUUUAUAUUAAAGAUUUAUCGGUAAAGGAUGGGCAUGCGUGUCAUUAGCUAGUUGGUGAGGUAAUGGCUCACCAAGGCGACGAUGACUAGGGGUACUGAGAGGUUACACCCCCACACUGGUACUGAGACACGGACCAGACUCCUACGGGAGGCAGCAGUAAGGAAUAUUGGACAAUGGGCGAGAGCCUGAUCCAGCCAUGCCGCGUGCAGGAUGACGGUCCUAUGGAUUGUAAACUGCUUUUGUAUGGGAAUAAACCCAGAUACGUGUAUCUGGCUGAAUGUACCAUAAGAAUAAGGAUCGGCUAACUCCGUGCCAGCAGCCGCGGUAAUACGGAGGAUCCAAGCGUUAUCCGGAUUUAUUGGGUUUAAAGGGUGCGUAGGUGGAAUGAUAAGUCAGUGGUGAAAUCCUACAGCUUAACUGUAGAACUGCCAUUGAUACUGCCAUUCUUGAGUAUAUUUGAAGUGGGCGGAAUGUGACAUGUAGCGGUGAAAUGCAUAGAUAUGUCACAGAACACCGAUAGCGAAGGCAGCUCACUAAACUAUAACUGACACUGAGGCACGAAAGCGUGGGUAGCGAACAGGAUUAGAUACCCUGGUAGUCG
rnacentral:rRNA from 1 species